rnacentral:rRNA from 1 species
UAACACGUGAGCAACCUGCCCCUAACUCUGGGAUAACGCUUCGAAAGGAGUGCUAAUACCGGAUAUGAGCCUGGAAGACAUCUUCUGGGUUGGAAAGUUUUUCGGUUAGGGAUGGGCUCGCGGCCUAUCAGCUUGUUGGUGAGGUAAAGGCUCACCAAGGCGACGACGGGUAUCCGGCCUGAGAGGGCGACCGGACACACUGGGACUGAGACACGGCCCAGACUCC